CCUACGGGUGGCAGCAGUGGGGAAUAUUGGGCAAUGGGCGCAAGCCUGACCCAGCAACGCCGCGUGAAGGAAGAAGGCUUUCUGGUUGUAAACUUCUUUUUACAGGGAAGAGUAGCAGGCUAUACGUGUCGAAUAAUCCGCGGCUAACUACUUGCCAGCAGCCGCGGUCAUACGUAGGUGGCAAGCGUUGUCCGGAUUUACUGGGUGUAAAGGGCGUGUAGCCGGGUUGACAAGUCAGAUGUGAAAUCCUGCGGCUUAACCGCAGAACUGCAUUUGAAACUGUUGAUCUUGAGUACUGGAGAGGCAGACGGAAUUCCUAGUGUAGCGGUGAAAUGCGUAGAGAUUAGGAGGAACACCAGUGGCGAAGGCGGGCUGCUGGACAGCAACUGACGGUGAGGCGCGAAAGCGCGGGGAGCAAACAGGAUUAGAUACCCUUGUAGUC
rnacentral:rRNA from 1 species